rnacentral:rRNA from 1 species
GGGUGAUCUGCCCUGCACUUUGGGAUAAGCCUGGGAAACUGGGUCUAAUACCGAAUAGGACCACGCGCUUCAUGGUGUGUGGUGGAAAGCUUUUGCGGUGUGGGAUGGGCCCGCGGCCUAUCAGCUUGUUGGUGGGGUAAUGGCCUACCAAGGCGACGACGGGUAGCCGGCCUGAGAGGGUGACCGGCCACACUGGGACUGAGAUACGGCCCAGACUCCUACGGGAGGCAGCAGUGGGGAAUAUUGCACAAUGGGCGCAAGCCUGAUGCAGCGACGCCGCGUGAGGGAUGACGGCCUUCGGGUUGUAAACCUCUUUCAAUAGGGACGAAGCGCAAGUGACGGUACCUAUAGAAGAAGCACCGGCCAACUACGUGCCAGCAGCCGCGGUAAUACGUAGGGUGCGAGCGUUGUCCGGAAUUACUGGGCGUAAAGAGCUCGUAGGUGGUUUGUCGCGUUGUUCGUGAAAACUCACAGCUUAACUGUGGGCGUGCGGGCGAUACGGGNNNNNCGGCCGCAAGGCUAAAACUCAAAGGAAUUGACGGGGGCCCGCACAAGCGGCGGAGCAUGUGGAUUAAUUCGAUGCAACGCGAAGAACCUUACCUGGGUUUGACAUGCACAGGACGCCGGCAGAGAUGUCGGUUCCCUUGUGGCCUGUGUGCAGGUGGUGCAUGGCUGUCGUCAGCUCGUGUCGUGAGANNNNNAACCCUUGUCCUAUGUUGCCAGCGGGUUAUGCCGGGGACUCGUAGGAGACUGCCGGGGUCAACUCGGAGGAAGGUGGGGAUGACGUCAAGUCAUCAUGCCCCUUAUGUCCAGGGCUUCACACAUGCUACAAUGGCCGGUACAAAGGGCUGCGAUGCCGUGAGGUGGAGCGAAUCCUUUCAAAGCCGGUCUCAGUUCGGAUCGGGGUCUGCAACUCGACCCCGUGAAGUCGGAGUCGCUAGUAAUCGCAGAUCAGCAACGCUGCGGUGAAUACGUUCCCGGGCCUUGUACACACCGCCCGUCACGUCAUGAAAGUCGGUAACACCCGAAGCCGGUGGCCUAACCCUUGUGGAGGGAGCCGUCGAAGGUGGGAU